AAAAACCUCAAAGCAGUUUACAAAAAAUUAAAACAAUAAAAUCAUCACUAAAAAAAUUACAACCAUAAUUUAAAACAUACAAAAGGUUAAAACCACAAUAGAAUAGACUAAAACAAAUUAAAACUCAUACAAACUUUCUAAACAUCUGAGUAGGCUUGUUUAAAUAAGAAUGUUUUUCUCAGGCACCAGAAAGAAUACUGUGAAGACCCCUGCCUGAUCUCAAUAGGCAGGGAGUUCCAAAGUACUCGUGCCGCCACACUAAACGACCGAGUUCUUACAAAUGUAGUGCAGGUAUUAGGCGGCAGCUGAAAAAGUUCCAGUUCCAUCAAUCAAAGCCGUUGAAUAGGUGCAUGUUGGGUAAGGCAGUCUUGAAGAUCAACUGGAGCCGAGUUGUUAAGGGCUUACAUUAUGGACGAGGGCAUUUCUCCAGAAACAGAUACUACAGGAACAGAAUUAAACACCUGACAAGAAAACUUGCUAUGACUGCCUUGAAAGCUCUCGCUGUUAGGGAAGGAUUCAUUCCACCCUGAAUUUCAUUUAAAAUAACAUUCAACACCACAUUUUGUGGUAGCCAAUUUCUGACCAGUGCUUUUUUCCCUUUAAGUGUGCACUUGAACACAAAAUGCAGCUAAAAAGCUGAUAAUGUAGAGCUCCGUGCCAGGAGGAGCGGCUCCUUCACUGCGGCGCUUGUCCCUGGUGCAGCUCUGCCCACCCCACCCCCCGGGUCAGGCCUGAAGGAGAGCAAGCAAGUGGGUGGCAGCGUUGCCACCGCCCCUCCUCAGCCAUGGCACAUCCCACACCCGGUGGCAGCAGAGAGCAGCUUCCCUGCCCCUCUCCUACCCUGAACUGUUGUGCACCCCACCCCUCCGCGCCCUACCCCCCUUGGGCACAAAAGUGCCAAGAUAAGUUUAGGACUUAUCAUCUUUAAAUGGAGAACUACUUAGCCCUACAUUAGUUUCAAGGUGAAUUGGAGAAUUUUGAAAUACCUUGCAGGGUUUGGGAGAAGAUAAAAAUAGAGCAGAAGGCGAACCAUGUUGGAGCUUCUUGGACGAAAGGUGAGAUAUAAAUGUAGUACAUAAUAAACUCUGUUUUCCCCUUAUUUUUGGUCAUAGUUUUCAUCAGGACCAAAGCAUUGGGCAGGGGUAAAGGCAAAGGAUCCCUGGACGGUUAAGUUCAGUCAAAAGUGACUAUGGGGUUGCAGUGCUCAUAUCACUUCAGGCUGAGGGAACCAGUGUUUGUCUGCAGACAACUUUCCGAGUCAAGUGGCCAGCAUGACUAAACUGCUUCUGGUGCAACGGGACACCAUGAUGUAAACCAUAGCGCACAGCAAUGCUGUUUAGCUUCCAAUCAGCAAGCACAAGAGGUUCAGUGGUUUAGACCACAGUGCUCAACGUUGAACCUAUCAAGUGGUGAUAGCGAUGGUGAAGAGGACUUUAUUCACUGCCUCUAUGGCAUCUGCAGAAAAUAGCAGCUCUAACCUGUGUCCAGUCAGAUUCAGAGUGAAUUUUCCACCACCAGCGCUCUAGCCAUCUAAGCAAUUGUUUCAUUGCCCUCAGCUCUGGGGAAAACCAUGGGGCUGUCUGGGCUCCAUGCAUCCGGAGAUGGUGCUUCAGAGCCAGACAGUCAAUACCUGCAAAAUCAUUGCAGGAGAUCAUGUGGCCCGUACUGGGCCCUGAUGUAGCAGGUGGUUCUGCUAAAUUGCAAACCACCUGAAAGAGUCUCCUGCUGCCAUUUCCCGCAGAUGCAAUAGAGGCGGUGAAGAAAGUCUUCUUCGCCGUCGCUAUCGCCACUUGGUAGGCUCAACAUUGAGCUCUAACCCAUGUCCGGUCAGAUUCAGAAUGAGUUAUCCGCCACCGGCACUCUAGCCGUCUCAACGAUUGUUUCAUCGCCCUCAGCUCCGUGGAAAACCACGGGGCUGUCCGGGGUCCAUGCAAUCGGAGAGGGCGCUUCGGAGCCAAACAGUCAAUAUCCCUGGUUAACUCUGCAUCGCAGCGGGCCACCAGGGAAUCAGCUGAAAGGCCAUCAACAUGGGAUAAAACAUCCCCUACCACUCUCUGGAAACCAUUUGGAUCCAUUAAGUGGUGGGGGCGGACCAUCCAAAUUGGUCCCACCUCCCUGCAGAGGGGAAGGGUCGCGGAGAAGUCCAGUUACACCAGGAAGUGAUCUGACCAUGGCACUUCUUUCGUUUCGCUUUUACUUAGUGUCAGAUCACCCACAUCCAUAGAGGUGAACACCAGGUCCAAGGCAUGUCCGCGGCUAUGAGUUGGGCCAGACUUAUUCAGGGACAGCCCCAUGGAGGCCAUGCUUUCCACGAAGUCCCGAGCGGCCCCUUGUAAGGUCGUGUCGGCAUGGAUGUUAAAAUCCCCUAGGACAACCAAGCUAGGUGUCUCCAGGAGAACAUCCGCCACAACCUGAAGCAGCUCAGGCAGGGAAUCCUUGGGGCAGCGGGGAGGUCGGUACACCAAAAGGAAUCCUGUACUGCCCCUAUUGCCCAACUUCCAGAACAUGCACUCAGAGAACUGGGUCUUCCCAAUACCAAAAUAUUUUCUUUUGGAAAUUAUAGGGACAGAACUACCUAAACUGUACAGAAACUGAUUCAUGUAUGCCACUACAGCGGCAAGAAUGUUGCAAAGAAUGUUACAGAAGUCCCAGCAAAGGAAGAAUGGAUACAAACCUAAUGGAAAAUGCAGAAAUGGCGAAACUUACCAGAAGAAUAAGAAAUCAAUAUAACAUUCUUUUAUAAAAGAAUGGAAGUGGUUUACUGAAUAUUUACAGAUAAAUUGUAAACAGAUAAAAACAUUGGCAGGAUUAUUGUAAUAACCUGCUGUUUCAUAAGAGUAUAUAUUUAAAGAAGAUGAAUAAUUGAGCAAAUUAAGUUAAUUUGGGUGAGAUAUGCAGAAGAUAUUAAAAAUAAAUUUAAGGAACCACAGAAAGAGGGGGAAGGAAGUCAAGUUUUGACAUGUUAAAAUGAUUGUAAAAAUAGUGAAAUGUAUAAACUUGAAAAAUAUAAAUAAAAAAAUAAUUAAAAAGCAAUGCAAGCUAGUGACCACCAUAUAAUUUGACAAUAAAUUCCAUAGGGG
rnacentral:lncRNA from 1 species